GACGAACGCUGGCGGCGUGCUUAACACAUGCAAGUCGAACGGUGAAGGGACCAGCUUGCUGGUUCUGGAUGAGUGGCGAACGGGUGAGUAACACGUGAGUAACCUGCCCCCUUCUUCUGGACAACCGCAUGAAAGUGUGGCUAAUACGGGAUAUUCUGGGUCUGUCGCAUGGCGGGCCCGGGAAAGAUAUUGCUUCGGUGGGGGAUGGGCUCGCGGCCUAUCAGCUUGUUGGUGGGGUGAUGGCCUACCAAGGCGGUGACGGGUAGCCGGCCUGAGAGGGUGGACGGUCACAAUGGGACUGGGACACGGCCCAGACUCCUACGGGAGGCAGCAGUGGGGAAUAUUGCACAAUGGGCGCAAGCCUGAUGCAGCGACGCCGCGUGAGGGAUGGAGGCCUUCGGGUUGUAAACCUCUUUCGCCAGUGAAGCAGGCCUGCUCCUUGUGGGUGGGUUGACGGUAGCUGGAUAAGAAGCGCCGGCUAACUACGUG
rnacentral:rRNA from 1 species